CCUACGGGGGGCUGCAGUGGGGAAUAUUGGACAAUGGGGGGAACCCUGAUCCAGCCAUGCCGCGUGUGUGAAGAAGGCCCUCGGGUUGUAAAGCACUUUCAGUGAGGAAGAACGCCUGGUGGUUAAUACCCAUCAGGAAAGACAUCACUCACAGAAGAAGCACCGGCUAACUCCGUGCCAGCAGCCGCGGUAAUAUGGAGGGUGCGAGCGUUAAUCGGAAUUACUGGGCGUAAAGCGCGCGUAGGUGGCUUGAUAAGCCGGUUGUGAAAGCCCCGGGCUCAACCUGGGAACGGCAUCCGGAACUGUCAAGCUAGAGUGCAGGAGAGGAAGGUAGAAUUCCCGGUGUAGCGGUGAAAUGCGUAGAGAUCGGGAGGAAUACCAGUGGCGAAGGCGGCCUUCUGGACUGACACUGACACUGAGGUGCGAAAGCGUGGGUAGCAAACAGGAUUAGAUACCCUAGUAGUC
rnacentral:rRNA from 1 species